UACGGAGGGGGCAAGCGUUAUUCGGAAUCACUGGGCGUACAGCGCGCGCAGGCGGUCGUGUAGGUACCUGGUGACAGUCUCGGGCUCAACUCGAGGGGUCUGGGUAGACCGCACGACUGGAGGCAGGGAGAGGAUGUGGAAUACCCGGUGGAGCGGUGAAAUGCGUAGAGAUCGGGAGGAACACCCGCGGCGAAGGCGGCCACCUGGACCAGACCUGACGCUGAGGCGCGAAGGCCGGGGAGCGAACGGG
rnacentral:rRNA from 1 species